rnacentral:tRNA from 1 species
GAGGGUAUAGCUCAGUGGUAGAGUGUGUGCUUAGUGUGCACGAGGUCCUGGGUUCAAUCUCCAGUAUCUCCU